GUCCAGUAUAGCUUUGUUGGUAAAGCACGAGACUCAAUCUCAGGGUUGUGGGUUUGAGCCCCACGGUGGGCA